UUUGACAGACUGAGGAACAAAUGGGUUCUGCGGUUCGUUCAGUCGAGGCUCUGGGGCUCUAAAUCUUCUACCUGAUGGCAAAAGCUGAUAUUCUUCAAAUAAGAUAUGAGAGGGGUCGGAUGUAUUUUCAGCUACCAGAGACAACAUUCUUCUACAAUACACAGCUUGACAAACAAUUUUUGUGCAGAUUUGUCCCUGUCAAGUUUGUGAAAAAAAGUCACAAAACCCGGCACCUGCAUUACCCAAGACGCAAUUUGACAACGCACAGAUUGGCCCUAGAUAUUCAGGUGGGUUCCACUGGGAUCAGCUGAUGUAGCCUGGAGCCACUGGAGCCUCGAGCAAGGAUGAAGAAUGGGCAACGGAGGGAAGUUCACUUCUUUCUUACUGGAGCCAUAAAGGCUAUAUAUAUAUAUAUAUAUAGCCUUGUCUAAUGUUGUUCACAUUAAUAUGAUGGACAUAAAGCUACAUGUUUAUGCAGCCCACUUGAAUGACGAUAAUAAUUCCCCUUAAAUGGUAAUAACCACCAGGUUAUCAACACACUUAACCUUCAGAUUACCUAUAAUUCGAAAAUACGCCACAACCUCAGUGGGCCAGCACUCAACAAGCACACACACACACACACACAAGCCCACAUAUAUAAACCAGAACACCGGAUGCUUUUGGGGCCCAAAACUUUCAACUGAGCAAUAAAAUAAAAGUGUGCUACCUUGGUCCCCCGGAUGAAGAACGAGACGCAGGCAGGUGUCCGGAGACGGCGCGUGGCCUCGGCAGCUGAUGACGUCACCAGUCCCUCAGGUCUCCCGUGACGAAGAUCAAGGUGGCGGACCGAUGUCCAGGGAUGGCGUGUGGUCUCUCCCGCGAAGCAGAGGAAGCUCUCAGCGUUAACUGGGCAGUCUCGCAAUCCCUCGAGGUUUCCACGUCGACAACGACGAGCUAAAGCCUUCGGAGCAAGCCGAGUUAGCCACGCGGUGGCUAAGAGUCCGUUCACUUUGCUAAUGAGUGCUAAUAAUAAUAAUGAACACCGUAAGCUAAUGAGCUAAUACACACGCGAAGCUAAUAGAAACAUGUGAACAACAGUACAUGUGACGAACUUGGAUAUUUGAUAUUUGUUUGCACAAACUUUUUUUCACGGACUUAUUUCCACCGUGACUUAGUUAGUCAAGUGUCCCCACUGACUCCACUCUACCUCCUCUCACUGCAAUUGAUCUUUCACAAUAAAACUCAACUCUACUUCCGCUGACUGCAAUUGAUCUUUCACAAUAAAAAUCCACUCUACUUCCGCUGACUGCAAUUGGUCUUUCACAAUAAAACUCCACUCUACUUCCUCUAUCUGCAAUUCAUCUUUCACAAUAAAACUCCACUCUACUUCCUCUGACUGUAAUUGAUCUUCAACAAUAAAACUCCACUCUACUUCCUCUGACUGCAAUGGAUCUUUCACAAUAAAACACGAGAUCCAUAACUAUAUAUGUCUCGUUUGAAACGUAUUUAUUGCAUUGUACCCUUUUUAACUCUGCAUGAAAUAACCUUUUAACCAUAUUUAAGAUGUACCUAUUAACGUCAUUUACAACAACUUCUCAUAUAGGUUUUUACAAAGUUACAUUUACCUUUAUCUUAACAUAACUUUAUAACGAUGUAUAACAUUUUUAAACAGGUUACAUAUGUAUCUCCCAUCUUUUCCCCAUGGCAGUAACAUGAACCUAUGAACAGCUGUAUUUAAAUCUGUCCUAAGUUUCUUUCUUGUGAUCACUCGAGUUUG
rnacentral:lncRNA from 1 species